AAGUCGUAACAAGGUUUCCGUAGGUGAACCUGCGGAAGGAUCAUUACCGAGUUGAUUCGAGCUCCGGCUCGACUCUCCCACCCUUUGUUUACCUACCUCUGUUGCUUUGGCGGUGCCGCCUUCGGGCGCCCGCCAGAGGACUUCAAAACUCCAGUCAGUGAACGUCUCAGUCUGAAAAACAAGUUAAUAAACUAAAACUUUCAACAACGGAUCUCUUGGUUCUG
rnacentral:misc_RNA from 1 species